AUUGAACGCUGGCGUCAGGCCUAACACAUGCAAGUCGAGCGGAUGAAGGGAGCUUGCUCCUGGAUUCAGCGGCGGACGGGUGAGUAAUGCCUAGGAAUCUGCCUGGUAGUGGGGGAUAACGUCCGGAAACGGGCGCUAAUACCGCAUACGUCCUGAGGGAGAAAGUGGGGGAUCUUCGGACCUCACGCUAUCAGAUGAGCCUAGGUCGGAUUAGCUAGUUGGUGGGGUAAAGGCCUACCAAGGCGACGAUCCGUAACUGGUCUGAGAGGAUGAUCAGUCACACUGGAACUGAGACACGGUCCAGACUCCUACGGGAGGCAGCAGUGGGGAAUAUUGGACAAUGGGCGAAAGCCUGAUCCAGCCAUGCCGCGUGUGCGAAGAAGGUCUUCGGAUUGUAAAGCACUUUAAGUUGGGAGGAAGGGCAGUAAGUUAAUACCUUGCUGUUUUGACGUUACCAACAGAAUAAGCACCGGCUAACUUCGUG
rnacentral:rRNA from 1 species